rnacentral:rRNA from 1 species
UACGUAGGGUGCGAGCGUUAAUCGGAAUUACUGGGCGUAAAGCGUGCGCAGGCGGUGAUGUAAGACCGAUGUGAAAUCCCCGGGCUUAACCUGGGAACUGCAUUGGUGACUGCAUUGCUGGAGUAUGGCAGAGGGGGGUGGAAUUCCACGUGUAGCAGUGAAAUGCGUAGAGAUGUGGAGGAACACCGAUGGCGAAGGCAGCUCACUGGGACGGUAUUGACGCUGAGACGCGAAAGCGUGGGGAGCAAACAGG